rnacentral:RNase_P_RNA from 2 species
UCAGCGCAAAGGCCACGAUGCUCGACACACACAGGAUGCCCUCGGGUGUCCUUUCUCUCGAGCGGGCUAAGGUCUGAGCGUUUUAAUCCCCAUCCAUCGGCUCUCGCUGGGCCCAGCUGUAAUGGCUGCGCGGUGUACCAGAAAACCAGCGCGUCGUGCAUAUGCCCCAAGAAGCCUGGCUUUGGCCAGGCCGAGGACAGCACGACGUCGCUCUGAAACGCAUCGCGGGGAUCGGGCGACGCGCAUCUCCUCCACGUUUGCCAUGCUCUUUAUCGCGCCUCGUGCUCUGCAACAGAGCGCCCAGGAUGCCGCCUGGCCAUUCUGUUCGGACGCUGGCCCCACCCCCACCCGCCUGACAAGGCGGCGCUCCUCUAAGGCAACUUAGAGUAAUCUUCGGUUCCCUCCGGAGAGUAUAGAACUCCAUCGCGAGAUCUAGCUAGGUGGCUCUAUCUAGGGUCUACUAGUCACACUGGGUGAAGCUCCUCCGCUUCCUAGAGUACAGUCUGGCGCGGCCUCUUCGCUGCCACACGACUAUGAUCAGCGCGCGCUACCACGCCGCGCAGAGCACAUGUGCACGGCUCCAGGCUGCAACGCCGGCCACCACUUCUACGAAAGCAAAGGCUUCUUCCUUCGAGCGGACUACGACCUAGUCAGCAUGAAUAGUGCAGGCCAUAUCGGCCGCAUGGUACAUCUCCAUGCAGGGGUCAGCACGAGCGCCUCAGGAGAGCGCUCCCGGCGUACGAGAAGACGCAUAGCAUUCGCAACGAGGAUUGGCCGUCGUCCUUGAGUUCACUUCGUGGCUCGCGGUCGCCUUCGGGCGUCGUGAAACUCGAUUCAGACUACUCUUGCGCUGA